rnacentral:piRNA from 1 species
AACAGAACUGGGAGCGGCUCUUU